UACGUAGGGUGCGAGCGUUGUCCGGAAUUAUUGGGCGUAAAGCGCUCGUAGGCGGUGUUUCACGUCGGCCGUGAAAACUCACAGCUCAACUGUGGGCGUGCGGGCGAUACGGGCAGACUGGAGUACUGCAGGGGAGACUGGAAUUCCUGGUGUAGCGGUGGAAUGCGCAGAUAUCAGGAGGAACACCGGUGGCGAAGGCGGGUCGCUGGGCAGUAACUGACGCUGAGGAGCGAAAGCGUGGGGAGCGAACAGG
rnacentral:rRNA from 1 species